AUAGGUCAGAAAGAAGAGAUUCUGGCAGAAACUCGUCUGCAUGCCAUUUCUAAGCCACAGGAAAUGCUGCCUGUCCCAUCUCCUUGGG
ensembl:lincRNA